rnacentral:misc_RNA from 1 species
GAUGAAGAACGCAGCGAAAUGCGAUACUUGGUGUGAAUUGCAGAAUCCCGUGAACCAUCGAGUCUUUGAACGCAAGUUGCGCCCGAAGCCAUCAGGUUGAGGGCACGUCUGCCUGGGCGUCACAUAUCGUUGCUCGAUGCCUAUCGCAUUGCGAUAGGACUUAGGGCGAAUGAUGGCUUCCCGUGAGCGUUGUUGCCUCGCGGUUGGUUGAAAAUCGAGUCCUUGGUAGGGUGUGCCAUGAUAGAUGGUGGUCGAGUGAGCACGAGACCGAUCAUGUGCAUGCUCCCCAAAAUAUGGCCUCUGUGACCCACACGCGUCUUUUGACGCUCAUGACGAGACCUCAGGUCAGGCGGGGCUACCCGCUGAAUUUAAGCAUAUCAAUAAGCGGAGGAA